rnacentral:misc_RNA from 1 species
GUGAGCAGAUGCUCCGGGUGAGAAAUGAGCCGGAUUUUGGGGAGUCCGUCUCAGAACCUUUCUUCUGCUUUCAAAACCAUGAAGGUAUAAGCUUUAAGGUCUUGUUUCUGGUAAAUGCUGUUUUGCACAAAGGCAUAGUUAAUCAGCAUCAGAUGACUGCUGAAUUCUUUUCUUUGCUUAGAAAGCAUCAGGAGGGAGUAAAUUUAGCUGCACUGAAGCACAUCUUUUCUUACAAAAGGCCUGUCAAUGAUGCUAUUCGGAAGUUAGCAAGUGUACAGAAAUGGCUAUUUAAUAAUCCUAACCUUCUCGAGAGAACUGGACAGUUGGAUGAUGUUGUAG